AUGUGUAUGAUUGUGCAGGUGAGAAGGCACCUGAUGCUGCUGCACGGCGUCUAUCUCGCGGAGCUCAUAAAUGCGGCGCCCCCAGUCAUUGCCUGCUGCAAGCCAGCCAACACGAUCCUUGUUCCAAACAGCUUAAGGAUUCGGAAGAUGCCAUGCCGUAGCAAGGUUCAAAUGUUUACAUGGAGACUUAGGCACAGAUCUCUCACUUUGUGCACGAACCUGGUUAGAGGGGGAGUACAGAUCGAGGGCACAAAAUGUCUGUUCUGCGGGAGAGCUGAGGAUACGGUGUGCAUCUAUUUAUCAAGUGCUAAUCUGUGA
rnacentral:rRNA from 1 species